CACGCGGUGUCAGUCCUUGAACUUGAUAGCGGCGUGGCUUCAAAUCGAGGU
rfam:Pasteurella multocida subsp. multocida str. Pm70, complete genome.